rnacentral:rRNA from 1 species
AUUGAACGCUGGCGGCAGGCUUAACACAUGCAAGUCGAGCGGGGUGAUGGUGCUUGCACUAUCACUUAGCGGCGGACGGGUGAGUAAUGCUUAGGAAUCUGCCUAUUAGUGGGGGACAACAUCUCGAAAGGGAUGCUAAUACCGCAUACGUCCUACGGGAGAAAGCAGGGGAUCACUUGUGACCUUGCGCUAAUAGAUGAGCCUAAGUCGGAUUAGCUAGUUGGUGGGGUAAAGGCCUACCAAGGCGACGAUCUGUAGCGGGUCUGAGAGGAUGAUCCGCCACACUGGGACUGAGACACGGGCCAGACUCCUACGGGAGGGAGCAGUGGGGAAUAUUGGACAAUGGGGGGAACCCUGAUCCAGCCAUGCCGCGUGUGUGAAGAAGGCCUUAUGGUUGUAAGGCACUUUAAGCGAGGAGGAGGCUCUUUUGGUUAAUACCCAAGAUGAGUGGACGUUACUCGCAGAAUAAGCACCGGCUAACUCUGUGCCAGCAGCCGCCGUAA